UUUGGAUUUAUUUCAUUAUUCUUAGUGGCGGACGGGGUGAGUAACACGUGAGCAACCUGCCUAUCAGAGGGGGAUAACGAUUGGAAACGAUCGCUAAUACCGCAUGACAUAGCGGAACCGCAUGGUUCUGCUAUCAAAGAUUUUAUCGCUGAUAGAUGGGCUCGCGUCCGAUUAGAUAGUUGGUGGGGUAACGGCCCACCAAGACGACGAUCAGUAGCCGGACUGAGAGGUUGACCGGCCACAUUGGGACUGAGAUACGGCCCAAACUCC
rnacentral:rRNA from 1 species